UGGGGAAUCUUGCACAAUGGGCGAAAGCCUGAUGCAGCAACGCCGCGUGCGGGAAGACGGCCCUAGGGUUGUAAACCGCUUUCAGCAGGGAAGAAACUGACGGUACCUGCAGAAGAAGAUGCGGCCAACUACGUGCCAGCAGCCGCGGUGACACGUAGGCAUCAAGCGUUAUCCGGAUUUAUUGGGCGUAAAGAGCUCGUAGGCGGUUCGGUAAGUCGGGUGUGAAAACUCUGGGCUCAACCCAGAGACGCCACCCGAUACUGCUGUGACUAGAGUGCGGUAGGGGAGUGGGGAACUCCUGGUGUAGCGGUGAAAUGCGCAGAUAUCAGGAAGAACACCAGUGGCGAAGGCGCCACUCUGGGCCGUAACUGACGCUGAGGAGCGAAAGCGUGGGUAGCAAACAGG
rnacentral:rRNA from 1 species